GUGACCAGGGAGUCGCUUUCUACAGGCCCUUUUCUAUAGUGGCCCCGCUAUCGUAACUGCUAGCAACGGAAGGAGGAAGGAGUGGCAGUUGGACAGCAGUGGGCCCAGCCUCCACUGGAAGGACCUACCGGGGCUGCCAAGACUGCGUCCUGAACCUUCAAGCUGUCCCUGCCUGGACGCCUGUCCACAUUUGCAUCUAUAUGAAACCGUGAGGCAGAAAUGCUGAAAUGUUCUGAUUCCAGGGUCGAGGGAUCGAGCCUCCAAGCUCAGCGUGGAGCCUGCUUAACAUUCUCUCUCUCCCUCUCCCCCCCCCCCACCCCGUUUGCGCGCUCUCUCUCUAAAAUAAAAU